UACGAAGGGAGCUAGCGUUGUUCGGAAUUACUGGGCGUAAAGGGCGCGUAGGCGGCUUGAUAAGUUUGAUGUGAAAGCUCCGGGCUCAACCUGGGAGGUGCGCGCGAAACGGGGGGGCUUGAGUUCGGGAGAGGAGCGUGGAAUUCCCAGUGUAGAGGUGAAAUUCGUAGAUAUUGGGAAGAACACCGGUGGCGAAGGCGGCGCUCUGGACCGAGACUGACGCUGAGGCGCGAAAGCGUGGGGAGCAAACAGG
rnacentral:rRNA from 1 species